rnacentral:rRNA from 1 species
AUUGAACGCUGGCGGCAGGCCUAACACAUGCAAGUCGAACGGUAACAGGAAGACGCUUGCUUCUUUGCUGACGAGUGGCGGACGGGUGAGUAAUGUCUGGGAAACUGCCUGAUGGAGGGGGAUAACUACUGGAAACGGUAGCUAAUACCGCAUAACGUCGCAAGACCAAAGAGGGGGACCUUCGGGCCUCUUGCCAUCGGAUGUGCCCAGAUGGGAUUAGCUAGUAGGUGGGGUAACGGCUCACCUAGGCGACGAUCCCUAGCUGGUCUGAGAGGAUGACCAGCCACACUGGAACUGAGACACGGUCCAGACUCCUACGGGAGGCAGCAGUGGGGAAUAUUGCCCAAUGGGCGCAAGCCUGAUGCAGCCAUGCCGCGUGUAUGAAGAAGGCCUUCGGGUUGUAAAGUACUUUCAGCGGGGAGGAAGGGAGUAAAGUUAAUACCUUUGCUCAUUGACGUUACCCGCAGAAGAAGCACCGGCUAACUCCGUG